AGUGAACGCUGGCGGUAGGCCUAACACAUGCAAGUCGAACGGCAGCACAGUAAGCGCUUGCUCUUACGGGUGGCGAGUGGCGGACGGGUGAGGCAUACAUCGGAAUCUACUUUUUCGUGGGGGAUAACGUAGGGAAACUUACGCUACUACCGCAUACGACCUACGGGUGAAAGCAGUGGAUCUUCGGACCUUGCCCGAUUGAAUGAGCCGAUGUCGGAUUAGCUAGUUGGCGGGGUAAAGGCCCACCAAGGCGACGAUCCGUAGCUGGUCUGAGAGGAUGAUCAGCCACACUGGAACUGAGACACGGUCCAGACUCCUACGGGAGGCAGCAGUGGGGAAUAUUGGACAAUGGGCGCAAGCCUGAUCCAGCCAUACCGCGUGGGUGAAGAAGGCCUUCGGGUUGUAAAGCCCUUUUGUUGGGAAAGAAAAGCAGCGGGUUAAUACCCCGCUGUUCUGACGGUACCCAAAGAAUAAGCACCGGCUAACUUCGUG
rnacentral:rRNA from 1 species